rnacentral:lncRNA from 1 species
UCUGCUGACUUUGGAGAUAUCCCCGAAGAGCAUGUGAAGGAAAUGGCAAAUUUUUUGAAGAAGAUUCCUCCGAAGGAAUGGAGUUUUGCACUUCUGACUAAGCAAGCUUGGUUAUAUGACCAUAAAUGUAAGUUUCGAACAACUUUGUAACACAGUUUUUUGAGAUAUUUAAGUGACAUGGGUUCUGAUACAUGGUUAUUUGCAGUGUCUUUGAUCAAACCAACUUCUUCGGAAGUAAAAGAGUUGGAAGACUUCUUGGCUGGGAAAACCGUGGAUGCAAGUGAAGAGCCUACGACUGAAGAAUCUCCCCGAGCUGAUCCCCUCAAUACCGAUCCACCCACUGUUUCUCUUUGG